CUCCUCUUGUCUCCUUCUCCGUCGGAGGGUCAGCCCUAUUAAAAUAACAGGACCGCGAAGUCAGCACUGAGUUGACGCUACAACUCUUUAGCGAGCACAAAAAAAGCAAAAGGCUUCACUUAUCUACUCAGCAAACACCAGUGUUCAAGUGUUUCUCUGAAUCUGAGGUGUUGGUUCUAGAUCAACCCCUAAGCUAAUGCCUUUACCUUGCCUGUUUUAAAGUGACAAUUUUAGCAUUUUUGUCUUUCAUUUACAUCCAAAUAUCUUCUCUGUCCUUAUUUUCACAUUUUUUAUGAACAAAAAAAUCACAUUGUGUACAUAAAUAGCUAUAAUGACUAAAUCCACAAAGUCUUGUCUAACUCACUGGAUUUAAAACUCAUUUUACCUAAAGACACAUCAUUUUAUAGGCUGCUUUCAAAGAUAAGCUAAUUAAAGUCUAGGUGACUUACUGCUGCAGGUCUUGAGGAUGAUUCUGACUCUGCAGACACACACCGAGCUAUUUAAGUCAGCCUGCAGGGCCACUGGCUCACACUAGGACAAAACCGCAGCUCCGGAAAAGCUCAAGUGGAGCACCGGGGACAGGAACUCAUUCCCUACAGUGAUGUGACCUUUCUUCACUUGAUUGUUGCACCAGCACUCAUAAUGCAGUUAAACUCAGAGACAGUUCCAACAUGCAUGUCUAAAAUACUUUGAGUUAUGAACUUUAACUUCUCUUUUUAUCAAUUAAAAAAGAAAGAAAAGGUUUUUCCUAAUCAUAUAGUUUUAUUUUUCAGAAAAUACUAUAUUUAUCUGUUUUGAUUUUAUGAUAUGAGGCACACUGAACUAUCAAGUAAGAAACAAGAGUCAGAGAUAAGUCUGUCGUUCAGUCACUUUUUUAAAUGCAUUCACAGUAACCAAAGGUUGUGCAUGAAUUCCUUCACAUAGUGCACCAUAUAGCUCCUGUGUGUGGCCAAGUACCAAACAUUGCCUCCAACUGGUACCAGUACUUAGCCUGGAGGUUGGGGACCCCUCAUUUAUUAGGAAUAGAUAGUAAGUCUAAAAAAAACGACAAGUUGGGGACACCCAAAAGAAGUGGAGGCUCACUAAACUGGUGUUUAUAGACAACAAUUAACGCGUUUGAACAAUUUUGGUGAAAAAAUACAUUUAAGUCUUUUUUUGUUGAUAAUUUUCAUUGUCAGAACACAAUAGAUUCAUAAAGUCUUCGUAAAAUGUUUGUGUUUCAUAGGUUUUACUUUGCAAAAUUGGUGAUGUCAUAUUUACUUCAUAAAAUAGUGAACAUGGUGUCGAAAUUGCUUUUAAAAUCCAGCUCAGUAGAUAGUUACGCUCUAUAUAUGUUUUUCAUAGUUAUGAAGUAGGGAGGGAAUUCUAAAAUAGCCUAAAACUUGUGGGUAACACACUACAAAUUAGCCAAGUAAGCAAUUUCUUAAUACCUGGAACUCCUAACUUUGUUUGUAACACAUAACAAUACAGCUGAAACAAACAUUACUGCAACUACACUAACUCCCAACCUUAUUGAAAACACGUUACCAAAAAAAAAAAAAAAAACACAGUCAGACACUGCUACAGGUUAGCCACGUUAGCAAAUUCUUAGUACAUAUAAGUUUCAACCUUGUUAGUAAAACGUAAAACUACUUAAUGAUACGGCUUAAACAAACAUUACUGUGACUACUCUAACUCCAUACCUUGUUAGCAACACGUAAAAAAAAAAAACAAAAAAAAAAACACAGUCAGACCGCUACACGUUAGCCGCUAGGAAAUUCACAAUAUCACCCAAUCUUAUUUGUUAAUCGCAAAAAAACAGACUGACACUUGACAUAGCGCCAUGUACCUCUUAAAAUUGCUUUGACAGCAGUUCACACAACCACAAUGAACCCAUGCAUAAGAAAUUCCAGACAAUAAGCCGCACUGUUCUUGGUUUUUUUCUUCAUUUUUAACUAGUUUUUAUGUGCGUCUUAUAGUCCAGAAAAUAUGGUAAAUAAAAAAGGUGAACCUCUGCAGCCACACUUUUGCAUCCCCCAGUGUAAGUAAACAUCUUAUACAUUCUUGUUCUGACAUAAUCUUCUCACAUUUGAGAGAUUUUUCUGACAGUAGCUGCAGAUUGUUAGGCUUGUUGGCAUGUGAGCGUGUGCAGGAACUCAUGUUUCUGUUUCCGAGUCACCGUGGUGACAGGAUGUAAUGUGUCACCUGGUGGACACAUGGGCACCAAAAGGACAGGCGCUCGGUGUUCACACACAAACUGCACGAUCGGUCAGUGAUGGAUGGUGACUUUGUCAAAACAGCCGGUAAGAAAGGAGGUUUGGGAUGGGGGGAGCGGGAUGGAGAGACAUUUGGGAGGCUCUAUUUCUGUAUUUUACCCUCAGGUAGCAGCAUUCCCUCAUCGAAAUGCUGCUGGAAUGGUAUUGUUGGAGCCACCCCACUCAAAAGGUUGAGAGUAUUGAGCCACAUACUGAUGGAGCCCUUUGGAUUUUUGUCACUAACAAGAUGGGAAAAUGUCAUCUUUAAGUUGUCUCUCAGAGGAAAGACGUUGGGUGCCAUUAACUUUUUCCCCAAAACCCAAUGUUCAAAUUGGAUUUAUAGCUUUCAUUUGAAAAUGUAGUUGAUCAAAAAUGAAUAUUAUUCUAUUCCUGGUUUUGUUCGAUGUUUCCAGUAGUCACUGCCUUCCCUUCUUGGUACCUUUAAUAAAUUACCGGAUUUGUCUUUCCCUCACAGCUUUCCUUGUGAGUUUUCAUUUUUUUUUUUUUGCGACUGAAAGAAAGAUUAGAGUUUUCCUUAUUAGAAUAGAACAGAAUAGAAAAUACUUUAUUAAUCCCUUUGGAAAUCCUCAAGGAAAUUCAGGUACCAGCGCCCGUACAGCACCACAAAUGGAGUAAAAUAGAUAAAUAAAGUAAAAUAGACUGAAUAUAGCUAAAUUUGCAAAAUAGAAAAAGAAUAAAUAAUAAAA